rnacentral:rRNA from 1 species
GACGAACGCUGGCGGCGUGCUUAACACAUGCAAGUCGAACGGAAAGGCCCUGCUUUUGUGGGGUGCUCGAGUGGCGAACGGGUGAGUAACACGUGAGUAACCUGCCCUUGACUUUGGGAUAACUUCAGGAAACUGGGGCUAAUACCGGAUAGGAGCUCCUGCUGCAUGGUGGGGGUUGGAAAGUUUCGGCGGUUGGGGAUGGACUCGCGGCUUAUCAGCUUGUUGGUGGGGUAGUGGCUUACCAAGGCUUUGACGGGUAGCCGGCCUGGGAGGGUGACCGGCCACAUUGGGACUGAGCUACGGCACAGACUCCUACGGGAGGCAGCAGUGGGGAAUAUUGCACAAUGGGCGGAAGCCUGAUGCAGCAACGCCGCGUGCGGGAUGACGGCCUUCGGGUUGUAAACCGCUUUCGCCUGUGACGAAGCGUGAGUGACGGUAAUGGGUAAAGAAGCACCGGCUAACUACGUG